rnacentral:rRNA from 1 species
GACGAACGCUGGCGGCGUGCCUAAUACAUGCCAGUAGAACGCUGAAGGAGGAGCUUGCUCUUCUGGAUGAGUUGCGAACGGGUGAGUAACGCGUAGGUAACCUGCCUGGUAGCGGGGGAUAACUAUUGGAAACGAUAGCUAAUACCGCAUAACAGUAGAUGUUGCAUGACAUUUGCUUAAAAGGUGCAAUUGCACCACUACCAGAUGGACCUGCGUUGUAUUAGCUAGUUGGUGGGGUAACGGCUCACCAAGGCGACGAUACAUAGCCGACCUGAGAGGGUGAUCGGCCACACUGGGACUGAGACCCGGCCCAGACUCCUACGGGAGGCAGCAGUAGGGAAUCUUCGGCAAUGGACGGAAGUCUGACCGAGCAACGCCGCGUGAGUGAAGAAGGUUUUCGGAUCGUAAAGCUCUGUUGUAAGAGAAGAACGAGUGUGAGAGUGGAAAGUUCACACUGUGACGGUAUCUUACCAGAAAGGGACGGCUAACUACGUG